rnacentral:rRNA from 1 species
AGAGUUUGAUCCUGGCUCAGGAUGAACGCUAGCUACAGGCUUAACACAUGCAAGUCGAGGGGCAGCAUCAUCAAAGCUUGCUUUGAUGGAUGGCGACCGGCGCACGGGUGAGUAACACGUAUCCAACCUGCCGACAACACUGGGAUAGCCUUUCGAAAGAAAGAUUAAUACCGGAUGGCAUAGUUUUCCCGCAUGGGAUAAUUAUUAAAGAAUUUCGGUUGUCGAUGGGGAUGCGUUCCAUUAGGCAGUUGGCGGGGUAACGGCCCACCAAACCAACGAUGGAUAGGGGUUCUGAGAGGAAGGUCCCCCACAUUGGAACUGAGACACGGUCCAAACUCCUACGGGAGGCAGCAGUGAGGAAUAUUGGUCAAUGGACGAGAGUCUGAACCAGCCAAGUAGCGUGAAGGAUGACUGCCCUAUGGGUUGUAAACUUCUUUUAUACGGGAAUAAAGUUAGCCACGUGUGGCUUUUUGUAUGUACCGUAUGAAUAAGGAUCGGCUAACUCCGUGCCAGCAGCCGCGGUAAUACGGAGGAUCCGAGCGUUAUCCGGAUUUAUUGGGUUUAAAGGGAGCGUAGGCGGGUUGUUAAGUCAGUUGUGAAAGUUUGCGGCUCAACCGUAAAAUUGCAGUUGAUACUGGCGACCUUGAGUGCAACAGAGGUAGGCGGAAUUCGUGGUGUAGCGGUGAAAUGCUUAGAUAUCACGAAGAACUCCGAUUGCGAAGGCAGCUUACUGGAUUGUAACUGACGCUGAUGCUCGAAAGUGUGGGUAUCAAACAGGAUUAGAUACCCUGGUAGUCCACACAGUAAACGAUGAAUACUCGCUGUUGGCGAUAUACGGUCAGCGGCCAAGCGAAAGCAUUAAGUAUUCCACCUGGGGAGUACGCCGGCAACGGUGAAACUCAAAGGAAUUGACGGGGGCCCGCACAAGCGGAGGAACAUGUGGUUUAA